rnacentral:rRNA from 1 species
UCCUUUGGCCACACCACCCUGAGAAUGCCUGAUCUUGUCUGAUCUUAGAAGUUAAGCAGUGUCGGGCUCGGGUCUUGUCUAGGGUUAAACGAC